CUAAUACAUGCAAGUCGAGCGAGCGGACCAACAGAUUUACUUCGGUAAUGACGUUGGGAAAGCGAGCGGCGGAUGGGUGAGUAACACGUGGGGAACCUGCCCCUAAGUCUGGGAUACCAUUUGGAAACAGGUGCUAAUACCGGAUAAUAAAGCAGAUCGCAUGAUCAGCUUUUGAAAGGCGGCGUAAGCUGUCGCUAAGGGAUGGCCCCGCGGUGCAUUAGCUAGUUGGUAAGGUAACGGCUUACCAAGGCGACGAUGCAUAGCCGAGUUGAGAGACUGAUCGGCCACAUUGGGACUGAGACACGGCCCAACUCCUACGGGGAGGCAGCAGUAGGGAAUCUUCCACAAUGGACGCAAGUCUGAUGGAGCAACGCCGCGUGAGUGAAGAAGGUUUUCGGAUCGUAAAGCUCUGUUGUUGGUGAAGAAGGAUAAGGUAGUAACUGGCCUUUAUUUGACGGUAAUCAACCAGAAAGUCACGGCUAACUACGUGCCAGCAGCCGCGGUAAUACGUAGGUGG
rnacentral:rRNA from 1 species